AAUCAAACACACUGAAGAUACUGAAGAACUAACAGAGUUAAAUGAAGAACUGAGUGAAGCUGAGGAGAAAAAUCAUGUCAAAACUGGAGAACAACCUUUGAGUUGCUCUCAAACCAAACAG